rnacentral:rRNA from 1 species
UACGUAGGGUGCGAGCGUUAAUCGGAAUUACUGGGCGUAAAGCGUGCGCAGGCGGCUUUGCAAGACAGAUGUGAAAUCCCCGGGCUUAACCUGGGAACUGCAUUUGUGACUGCAUGGCUGGAGUGCGGCAGAGGGGGAUGGAAUUCCGCGUGUAGCAGUGAAAUGCGUAGAUAUGCGGAGGAACACCGAUGGCGAAGGCAAUCCCCUGGGCCUGCACUGACGCUCAUGCACGAAAGCGUGGGGAGCAAAUAGG